GGGGUUGACUGGAUUUGACAGCAGGCUGAGAUGGUACGUAAGCAUGCGGAGUGACGGCUGUGGACUCCAUAAUCACGUCGGUCGGAAAAUUAAUUGGCGAAACAAAGUACGCUCUCGCUGCCUAAUCGAAGUACAGUAGAUUACUGGCUUUAUUCUCUUACAAGGUGAGAGAACGAGACAUCGCUCUUCUAGAUGUUGUUCCGAAUCGGGAAGGUAUAGCGGUGCAGGAUUAUCGGAAAUAGUCUCUUGGGAGCCUCGACUAGGUGAUGAAGUUUUAGAGGAUAAGGUUGUGAUUGGUGGCUUGGGUCUUGUCACAGCCCGACAAUGAAGGCCAAGAUAAGCAUGUAGAAAGCGUAUGGUUUCCCUGUUUGGACGAGGGUUCGACUCCCUCCAGCUCCACU
rnacentral:tmRNA from 1 species